CUUAAGCAUUUUGAGCUGUUCAAUACGGGAUGGGGUCCCCUCGAGAAUCUUGCCGCCAAAAUACAGGAAAAUAGGUGUCUUCAUUUCAGACAAACUACUGGACAUCACGUAUUGGUAACCAUAACAAGAAUAGGCUUGGGCUCUAUUGACUUGGACCAGUCAGUAGCCAACUAGCAAUGCCUUUGUGACCACCCAUAACUGCCAUAGCAAUGUGCUCACAGCCACUCAGAACACCUCAAAAAACACCUAGCAACGCUCUUCCAUUGUUGUGGCUAAUUUUGCAAGGGUGGACACUCCUCCUGUUGCAUUGGGGGGAAAAGAACAACAAAGAAAGGAGUUCAAGAGGAGAAAUCUUCAAGAAAACAGUUUCAGUGAGAGACAGGGGACGGACCAUCUCCUGCUUCCUCAUUCCACGAACUUGUUACACUGGUGUCAAAACCCAGGAUUAGAGGAAGAAGGAUAUGCUGUCAUCGAGUCGUUGCAGCUGGAGGAAGUCUUCCAGUCCCUUAGUAUCCA